UUGUAUCUACUUUACAUUUAUACCCAAGUUUCCUUGAUUCAAACAUCCAAUUCUUUCUGUGAAAAGACAUCGACAUACAUUUUGUUAUCGCGUCUCGAUCACCCUGAAUAUAUUUAUUUAUUACUUAUUAUAUUUCACUCCUAUGGUGUUCUGUUAUUCAAUCUACUAUGAUCCACGUUUAAUAUACAUUCUGUAUUUAUUAGUUGAUAUAAUUUCAUUGUUUCACAGGUCGAUAUAUAUUUCUAUGAAUCAUCUUGGCAUUUUGAGGAUCGUCGCGGUAGCUAGCCAUCCACUGCGUGCCCUCAGAUAUUUAGUUAAUUAUUUAUAUCGUCUUAUUUACUUUCAGUUUCGAUUUUACGACGAUUCGUGUGCGUGUAAAUUACUUUGACAAAUACAUGCGAGCGUACACAUACGUACAAGACCUUAACGUACAAAGUCUGGGCAGAUCAAUCACGAGACGUGUAAAUUAAAUUGUCGGGAGGGAGAAAGAGGAAUGCGAGUUACGCACGUGAGUUACUCACGUGACAACGUUUCACAUCCUUCAAACGCGCAGUAAAAUUCAUUUCUUUCGAAUAUUUUACGCCUUCACGCUUUUACGAACGGCACACAGACGAACAGACAAAUUACCGGCCACUUGCUACCACGUUUCCAGUGAUUUACAAAGACGCUUUACGUGUCCUUAUUGGUCAUUACACGCCGCAAAGAAGAACACUCGUGGUCGGCUUUUAUAUAAUACUAGGAAAUUACACUUUAAAAAACGCAGAGAAAUUAUUCAAUCAGCUAGAAAGAAUAAGAAUAUAAAAUAUAUUUUAAACACACGAUGUGUAAUUAAUGUCAUAUAAAUCGUGUCGAUCUCGGCAAAAAUUCGAUCACAUGAACCGUUUCUUUAUUCAUGUACUUUACUAUGAUCCCUUUAUUUAUAAGCAAUUAAUAAUUUAAAAAAUUAGUCCCUUUUAAUUAAUUGAAAUUUCGUUAAUAAAUGGGACUGCGCAAUGAUUUAUUGUGAAAAUGGUGAAAAUUUUCGGAAAAGAUCGAAAGAACGACAAAUUUACGUAUCGUAUAAUGUGAUACUUGUAUUUAUAAGCCAUUUAUAAUUUGAAAAAUUAGUUCUGAGGUGAUGUGCGUGAUAGUUAUAGAAGAAUCACUCGUAAUUGUUUGACAAUAACUGUUUAUUU
rnacentral:misc_RNA from 1 species